AGUCGAACGGACUCUUCGGAGUUAGUGGCGGACGGGUGAGUAACGCGUGAGAAUCUACCCUUAGGUUGGGGACAACAGUUGGAAACGACUGCUAAUACCCAAUGUGCCGAGAGGUGAAAGGUUUACUGCCUGAGGAUGAGCUCGCGUCUGAUUAGCUAGUUGGUGGGGUAAGAGCGUACCAAGGCGACGAUCAGUAGCUGGUCUGAGAGGAUGAUCAGCCACACUGGGACUGAGACACGGCCCAGACUCCUACGGGAGGCAGCAGUGGGGAAUUUUCCGCAAUGGGCGAAAGCCUGACGGAGCAAGACCGCGUGCGGGAGGACGGCCUGUGGGUUGUAAACCGCUUUUGAUAGGGAAGAAGAUCUGACGGUACCUAUCGAAUCAGCAUCGGCUAACUCCGUGCCAGCAGCCGCGGUAAUACGGAGGAUGCAAGCGUUAUCCGGAAUUAUUGGGCGUAAAGCGUCCGUAGGUGGUUGAGUAAGUCUGCUGUUAAAGCGUGGAGCUUAACUCCAUACCGGCAGUGGAAACUACUGGACUAGAGUGCGGUAGGGGUCAGGGGAAUUCCCAGUGUAGCGGUGAAAUGCGUAGAUAUUGGGAAGAACACCGGUGGCGAAAGCGCCUGACUGGGCCUGCACUGACACUGAGGGAC
rnacentral:rRNA from 1 species